CCUACGGGUGGCAGCAGUGAGGAAUAUUGGUCAAUGGGCGGAAGCCUGAACCAGCCAAGUAGCGUGCAGGAUGACGGCCCUACGGGUUGUAAACUGCUUUUAUAUGGGAAUAAAAUGUUCCACGUGUGGGAUUUUGUAUGUACCAUAUGAAUAAGGAUCGGCUAACUCCGUGCCAGCAGCCGCGGUAAGACGGAGGAUCCGAGCGUUAUCCGGAUUUAUUGGGUUUAAAGGGAGCGUAGGUGGAUUGUUAAGUCAGUUGUGAAAGUUUGCGGCUCAACCGUAAAAUUGCAGUUGAAACUGGCAGUCUUGAGUACAGUAGAGGUGGGCGGAAUUCGUGGUGUAGCGGUGAAAUGCUUAGAUAUCACGAAGAACUCCGAUUGCGAAGGCAGCUCACUGGACUGCAACUGACACUGAGGCUCGAAAGUGUGGGUAUCAAACAGGAUUAGAUACCCGAGUAGUC
rnacentral:rRNA from 1 species